GACAGAGGCCUCAAGCGUUAGGCGGAAUCACUGGGCUUAAAGCGUGUGUAGGCGGAUCGUUAGGUGUCUUGUGAAAUCCCACGGCUCACCCGUGGAACUGCUGGGCAUACUGGCGAUCUUGGGCCAACUAGGGGCAGCCGGAACAAGCGGUGGAGCGGUGAAAUGCGUAGAUAUCGCUUGGAACGCCGAAGGUGAAAACAGGCUGCUGGGGUUGUGCCGACGCUGAGACACGAAAGCCAGGGGAGCAAACGGG
rnacentral:rRNA from 1 species